rnacentral:rRNA from 1 species
AUUGAACGCUGGCGGCAUGCUUUACACAUGCAAGUCGAACGGCAGCGCGGGCUUCGGCCUGGCGGCGAGUGGCGAACGGGUGAGUAAUGCAUCGGAACGUGCCCAGUAGUGGGGGAUAGCCCGGCGAAAGCCGGAUUAAUACCGCAUACGACCUGAGGGUGAAAGCGGGGGACCGAAAGGCCUCGCGCUAUUGGAUCGGCCGAUGUCGGAUUAGCUAGUUGGUGGGGUAAAGGCUUACCAAGGCGACGAUCCGUAGCUGGUCUGAGAGGACGACCAGCCACACUGGAACUGAGACACGGCCCAGACUCCUACGGGAGGCAGCAGUGGGGAAUUUUGGACAAUGGGGGCAACCCUGAUCCAGCCAUGCCGCGUGCGGGAAGAAGGCCUUCGGGUUGUAAACCGCUUUUGUUCGGGAAGAAAUCCUCUGGGCUAAUACCCCGGGGGGAUGACGGUACCGGAAGAAUAAGCACCGGCUAACUACGUG